AAGAACAGUAUCAGGCCCUGUUUUCGCUCUUUCAGGCUCAGUCAACACCAUCUGUAAGCGCUGUUGGUCUUACACGGUCUGCUGCUUCUGACAUUGCUGCUGCUCCCCAAUUGGAUGUUGGUGCUUCUUCCUCUGGCCCUCGUGAGGCACAGCCAUCUACUUCUGCUUCCAAGCAGCCUGAGUCAUCUAAAGGUAUUGCUUGUUCUCUUACUCAUUCAAGUGAUUUACCUGAUCUUGCCUCGACCUGGAUUGCUGAUUCUGGUGCUACUGUGCAUAUAUCUUGUUCCAUUGAUGUCGUUAGUUCUUAUGUGAUUUCCACAAAUGUCUUUUUUUCCUCACCGAAUGGGUCUCAAGCACAGGUCACUCACAUUCACGGUUGUGUUCUCUGAUUGUUUUUCUGUUAACAAUGUCCUUGUUAUUCCUUCAUUUCGGUUCAAUUUACUAUAUGUUAGCAAGCUAACAGCCUCUCAUGACUAUUCUGUGUCCUUCUCUGCUCCUCAUUGUGCUAUUCUGGAAAGGUACAGCUAGGCACAUUGCUGGCUUAUACGGUUUCAGUCAUGCUCCAUGUUCUUCAUCUCCCCAGUCAUUAGUCUGUCAAACUUCUCAUUUUUUUGAUACCUGGCACUUUAGGUUAGGCCAUGCCAGUGAUGUUUUUUUACGUACACUUGGUUAUCGUCUUGAUUCUAAGCUUUUCCAUUGCCAAUUCUGUCCUCAUGCGAAACAGAAACGGCUUCCGUUUCCUGAUAGUGUUUCAUUGUCGUCCAAUUGUUUUGGCGUUUUGCAUAUGGACAUCUGGGGUCCCUUUUCUGUUCCCACUAUAUCUAUUCAUCGGUACUUCUUAACAAUUGUGGAUGAUAGGUCUCGGACCACUUGGCUUUAUCUUUUACGUCAGAAAUCUGAAGUUCGUUCCCUCUUUCAAAUUUUUUGUUCCAUGGUAGAAACUCAAUUUCAGGCAAAAGUUAAGAUCAUUCGUACUGACAAUGGUCAGGAGUUCAAUGAUCCUUCAUUUUUUUUACCAAGGGAAUUCUUCAUCAAACAUCUUGUGUUCAGGCCUCUAAGCAAAACGGGAGAGUCGAGCGUAAGCACCAACAUAUCCUUGCUGUAGCGCGAGCUUUAUUGUUUCAAUCUUCCCUACCUAUCAAUUUCUGGGGAUUUUCAGUUUCAAAUGCUGUUGAUUUAAUUAACCGAUUGCCAACCCCUGUUUUCCAAUAUCAGUCACCAAUGACUGUCCUCACGGCUUCUGCUGUGUCACUUGAACACCUCAAGGUGUUUGGUAGUUUAUGCUAUAUGUCCACAUUAGGACACUCUCGUUGAAAAUUAUCUCCAAGGGCAGUCCCUUGUGUUUUUUAGGCUAUACAGCUAAUAAGAAAGCUUACCAUAUCUAUAAUCUUCAUACACCUCAGUUUAUAGAUUCUCGUGACGUUGUUUUUCACGAAUCUGUUUUUCCCUUCGCUGAUUUAUCUCAGUUCACUUCGUCUGUUCCAUGCUCACUUCCCAAUCUUGAGGUCUCCACGGAUUCUCUUCAAGAUUUGUCUUCCUCGGAGCCCUCUCGUCCGGUUAUCACACCGCUCGCACCUUCUUCGCAUCAGUCUGAUUCUCGGGUUGUCAUUCCAUCUUCUAUCCCGUAGUCAACUGUUCCAUCUUCUUCUAUUCUAGAUUCUGGAGCCAUCAAUUCCUCAAUUCCAGUAUCCAAUUCUACACCCUCUGAGGUUCCCUCUGCUUCUCAUUGUCCCUUUCGACAACGGGCUCCACCAUCUUACUUAAAAGAUUUCCACUGCAAUUAUGUGCCAUCCUCUGAUCUUUCAUAUCCUUUACAUGAUUAUCUAUCCUAUGAUAGACUUUCCCCUUCACAAAAACAUUUUGUUCUUGCGGUCACGCAUCUGCUCGAACCCUCAAAUUUCAAAGCUGCUUCUCUUGAUCCUGAAUGGGUUGCUGCCAUGAAUCGUGAGGUCCCUGCCCUACUUAAAACGAACACUUGGUCCACUGUUUCUCUUCCUCCAGGGAAGAAACCGAUUGGGUGCAAAUGGGUUUACAAACUCAAAUACAAUGCUGAUGGCAGUUUCGAGCAAUAUAAAGCUUGUCUUGUUGCGAAAGGUACACACAAACUGAAGGUAUUGACUAUUUCGAUACUUUCGCUCCGGUCGCCAAAAUGUCUACUGUCCGAACUUUGUUGGCAAUUGCUGCUAUUAAGGGCUGGCAUUUACAGCAACAUUACGUAAACACUGCUUUUCUAUAUGUUGAUUUGGUUGAAGAGGUUUAUAUGAACCUCCACCGGGUCUGUCACUUCCUUCUCCUGAUUAUGUUUGUAGGUUAAACAAGUCACUUUAUGGCUUGAAACAAGCUAGUUGAAAGUGGAAUUUCUAGCUCACUGAAUUUCUCAUCAAUGCUGGUUUCCAGCAAUUAAAAGCUGACUACUGGUAAUGGUAGGUUCAUUGCAACCCUUGUUUAUGUUGAUGAUAUUUUACUUCCUGGUGAUGAUUUGGAUGGUAUUACCAAGCUAAAGCAUCAUUUGGACUCCAGUUUUACAAUCAAAGAUCUGGGUAAUGCCAAGUUCUUCUUAGGCUUAGAAAUUGCUCGAUCUUCCAAAGGCAUCUCUGUUUCUCAACGAAAAUAUGCGCUAGAAAUCAUUGCUGAUGCUGGUUUGUUGGCAAGCAAACCGGCGUCCUCUCCUUGUGAGCCAGGUAUUCGCCCCUCUUCUAAUUCUUGGGUUCCUCUGUCUGAUCCAUCAAUAUAUCGUCGUCUCAUUGGCAGGCUUAUUUACUUGUGUCCUACGCGACCUGAUCUUGCGUUCAGUGUCAAUUUUGAGUCACUUUGUUAGCACUCCGACUGAUCUUCAUAUGGCAGUAGCUCUACGAGUUGUUCGUUUCUUGAAAGCAGCCCCUGCAUUGGUCCGUCGAUUUCACUUUUAACCUGUAUUGGUCCUUUAAAAAAAUCAAACGAAGGAAAAGGGACUAUUUCUAAAUUUAAGGUCUCAAGUGUCGAAUUUCACGAAGGACGGAUCACUAACUUAUACUCAACUAUUUAAGAUACGGUUUAAGCUAAUAAAGAUUCAAAAUGCUAGUUUUUUAGGUUAUCCACUAAAGUGCUCAUCAUCCACAAGAUAGCCAGUAAAAGAAAAUUAUAAUUGAGUUAGGAGAGGAAUGGAAGAGACAACUUUAGUUCAAAGAUAACCAGAUGAAACUGAACUGAACUGUGCGCGACUGUUUGGCGCGAACAGUAAGCGACAGUAGAAAGGCUGUGCUUUUUUGUUCUUAUACUUUUUGAAGUUGAGUUUCAUCUGCGGGUUAAUAUGGUGGCAGCAUCAGUGCUGGCCACCCACGAGCCUUGAUUGUUUUCUUUCAGGAACUCUUAACUUCUUUUUUCAGGUCACUUUGUCGCCCAUAGGAC
rnacentral:lncRNA from 1 species